rnacentral:sRNA from 1 species
AACACCCACUACCCCUGGGUCUACUGCCAUCACUCCUGGCACCCCACCAAGUUAUUCUUCACGCACACCAGGCACUCCUGGAACCCCUAGCUAUCCCAGGACCCCUCACACACCAGGAACCCCCAAGUCUGCCAUCUUGGUGCCGAGUGAGAAGAAGGUCGCCAUCAUACGUACUCCUCCAAAAUCUCCUGCGACUCCCAAGCAGCUUCGGCUUAUUAACCAACCACUGCCAGACCUGAAGAAUGUCAAAUCCAAAAUCGGAUCAACAGACAACAUCAAAUACCAGCCUAAAGGGGGGCAGGAUUUCCUAUGACAUUUUCUACCAUUUCCUCAUGUUUACUCCAAAAUAAGGAUGUUUCACCGAGUUUCAAUUCUGGCUACUAUUGCCUAAAUGUUGCAAAGGGGAGGUAUUCGUGUUGAUAAUAAAAGACACAUGGUUCUGAUGAAUAA